rnacentral:rRNA from 1 species
AACGAACGCUGGCGGCAUGCCUAACACAUGCAAGUCGAACGAGACCUUCGGGUCUAGUGGCGCACGGGUGCGUAACGCGUGGGAAUCUGCCCUUGGGUUCGGAAUAACAGUUGGAAACGACUGCUAAUACCGGAUGAUGACGUAAGUCCAAAGAUUUAUCGCCCAGGGAUGAGCCCGCGUAGGAUUAGCUAGUUGGUGGGGUAAAGGCCUACCAAGGCGACGAUCCUUAGCUGGUCUGAGAGGAUGAUCAGCCACACUGGGACUGAGACACGGCCCAGACUCCUACGGGAGGCAGCAGUGGGGAAUAUUGGACAAGGGGCGAAAGCCUGAUCCAGCAAUGCCGCGUGAGUGAUGAAGGCCUUAGGGUUGUAAAGCUCUUUUACCCGGGAUGAUAAUGACAGUACCGGGAGAAUAAGCCCCGGCUAACUCCGU